CCAUAGUUCAGUGUCAGAACAUCUGCCCUGCAAGCAGAAAACCCCAGGUUCAAGCGCUGGCGACAGAAGGA